UACCCCUACCCCUGCAAACAAGCCCAGAAACCUCCCCCCGACCCACCUCCCUCUCCUCCUAUCACCACCACAUCCCUUUCCCAUCACUAUCUCAGCCCCCCAUCCCACCUUCUCCCUCACCUCCCUCUCUCUCACUACAACUUCAACUCCUCUUUGAUUUGAAUUUGUAUGUGCUCCCAACUCCUAUUCGAACGAGAAUCUGUAUGCUACAACCAUUUCCACCCCAACCUGCUGCAAAUGCAGAGCCCAAACUCCAUGGUUGCCACAUCACACCCAGAAAUUGAUGCAGUUGCACAUGACGUUCAAAGGUCCUAAUAACAAAGUUGGAAAGAAAGUGCAUUUUGGUGCAAUUUAGAGCAAUUUUGGGCCAAAAUGGAUUGCAUGCAUAUGGAGCAAGUGGGAUGGACGUUUUUGGUGUUUUAAAAAGGGUUUCAACACAUGCAAAAAUCUGAAUAAUGAAGUUGAAGUGUGAAAGUGUGCAGAUACAUACACUUAAGGAACAUUUUGAAAUGAAAAGAAGUGAAAGAUGCCAUUUGUUGGAUUGCUUUACAAGAUGUAUUCACAUUUUCAGCAACUACAAACAUAGUUGCAAGCUGAAAUGAUGCAUAACAUGUGUGUAGAGGUGUAAAGUGGCCGAAAGUUGAUGUUUGCAAGAUGAAAUGAUGCAAAACAUGUGUGUGAAAGUUGUCUAACAACUAGUACAUGUGGAAAAUGGAUGGAAUACAAGGCAAAUGCAUUAGAAAUUGAAGAAUGAAGGCACAUGGACAGCUACAAAGGAGUUAAAUUAGCAAAAGAGGAAUGAUUGCCUUUUGUUAAAGGCAAGACACAAUGAUAAAAGAGCAUGUAAACUAGCUGUUUUUGCAUCAUUUUGGUCUUUGUUUGUAUUGUUUAUUGAAGCCACUUGAGUGAUUCUUUGCUUUGGAGCUUCUAUAAAUAGGGAGUGAAGGGAAGAACACUACAUUUUACACUACAUCAAAAACACAUCAACCACACCUCCAUAUUCAGAAUUUUCGCCAGAAAUCAUUCCCUCUCUUUGCCGCAGCCUUCCUGCACUAUUCUUCCAUAUUUUUCUGAUUCUUUUUACCCUAGCCGUACCCCCCAUCAAUCCUAAACCCUUCCAUACCAUUCCCUACCCAUUCUCCCAUACAAAUACCACCCUAGAACCUGACUUUAGACCAAGUGCCGCAGCAAGGAGGAAAGAAGACUUGUGGAUGCACCUGCUGUCCAAGUUGGAUCAUCUAGGUGUUUUCUUUAUUUGGAUUUUAAUGUCUAAAUUUAUGUAUCUUUGCUUUGUGAGUAUGAGGAACUAAACCCCCCUUGGCUAGGGGGGAAUUUGAAACCAUGUUUAUGCUCGC
rnacentral:sRNA from 1 species